GAUGAACGCUGGCGGCGUGCCUAAUACAUGCAAGUCGAGCGAACGGACGAGAAGCUUGCUUCUCUGAUGUUAGCGGCGGACGGGUGAGUAACACGUGGAUAACCUACCUAUAAGACUGGGAUAACUUCGGGAAACCGGAGCUAAUACCGGAUAAUAUUUUGAACCGCAUGGUUCAAAAGUGAAAGACGGUCUUGCUGUCACUUAUAGAUGGAUCCGCGCUGCAUUAGCUAGUUGGUAAGGUAACGGCUUGCCAAGGCAACGAUGCAUAGCCGACCUGAGAGGGUGAUCGGCCACACUGGAACUGAGACACGGUCCAGACUCCUACGGGAGGCAGCAGUAGGGAAUCUUCCGCAAUGGGCGAAAGCCUGACGGAGCAACGCCGCGUGAGUGAUGAAGGUCUUCGGAUCGUAAAACUCUGUUAUUAGGGAAGAACAUAUGUGUAAGUAACUGUGCACAUCUUGACGGUACCUAAUCAGAAAGCCACGGCUAACUACGUGCCAGCAGCCGCGGUAAUACGUAGGUGGCAAGCGUUAUCCGGAAUUAUUGGGCGUAGCGCGCGUAGCGGUUUUUUAGUCUGAUGUGAAAGCCCACGGCUCAACCGUGGAGGGUCAUUGGAAACUGGAAAACUUGAGUGCAGAAGAGGAAAGUGGAAUUCCAUGUGUAGCGGUGAAAUGCGCAGAGAUAUGGAGGAACACCAGUGGCGAAGGCGACUUUCUGGUCUGUAACUGACGCUGAUGUGCGAAAGCGUGGGGAUCAAACAGGAUUAGAUACCCUGGUAGUCCACGCCGUAAACGAUGAGUGCUAAGUGUUAGGGGGUUUCCGCCCCUUAGUGCUGCAGCUAACGCAUUAAGCACUCCGCCUGGGGAGUACGACCGCAAGGUUGAAACUCAAAGGAAUUGACGGGGACCCGCACAAGCGGUGGAGCAUGUGGUUUAAUUCGAAGCAACGCGAAGAACCUUACCAAAUCUUGACAUCCUUUGACAACUCUAGAGAUAGAGCCUUCCCCUUCGGGGGACAAAGUGACAGGUGGUGCAUGGUUGUCGUCAGCUCGUGUCGUGAGAUGUUGGGUUAAGUCCCGCAACGAGCGCAACCCUUAAGCUUAGUUGCCAUCAUUAAGUUGGGCACUCUAAGUUGACUGCCGGUGACAAACCGGAGGAAGGUGGGGAUGACGUCAAAUCAUCAUGCCCCUUAUGAUUUGGGCUACACACGUGCUACAAUGGACAAUACAAAGGGCAGCGAAACCGCGAGGUCAAGCAAAUCCCAUAAAGUUGUUCUCAGUUCGGAUUGUAGUCUGCAACUCGACUACAUGAAGCUGGAAUCGCUAGUAAUCGUAGAUCAGCAUGCUACGGUGAAUACGUUCCCGGGUCU
rnacentral:rRNA from 1 species